rnacentral:rRNA from 1 species
CCUACGGGAGGCAGCAGUAAGGAAUAUUGGUCAAUGCCCGCAAGGGUGAACCAGCCAUUCCGCGUGGAGGAUGAAGGCCCUAUGGGUUGUAAACUUCUUUUAGAUGGGAAGAAAAUGCUAGAUGUAUCUGGUACUGACGGUACCAUCAGAAUAAGCACCGGCUAACUCCGUGCCAGCAGCCGCGGUAAU